CAAUAGCGUAUAUUAAAGCUGUUGCGGUUAAAAAGCUCGUAGUUGGAUUUCUGUCAAGGACAACUGGUCCGCCCUCCGGGUGAGCACAUAGUUUGGUCUUGGCAUCUUGCUGGAAACUGUUGCUGCGCUUGGUUGUGUGGUGCAGCUUUCAGCACUUUCACUUUGAGGAAAUUGGAGUGUUUCAAGCAGGCACAUGCCUUUGGACACAGUAGCAUGGAAUAAUUAGAUUGGGCUUUUGCUCCAACUUGUUGGUUCCUGGAGCUGAGGUGAGAAUCAAUGGGGAUUGUUGGGGGCAUCCGAAUUUAGCCGUCAGAGGUGAAAUUCUUGGAUCUGCUAAAGACGGACAACUGCGAANGNGUUUGGNCAGGAUGUUUNCAUUG
rnacentral:rRNA from 1 species